AGUCGAGGGGCAGCAUGGUCUUAGCUUGCUAAGGCCGAUGGCGACCGGCGCACGGGUGAGUAACACGUAUCCAACCUGCCGUCUACUCUUGGACAGCCUUCUGAAAGGAAGAUUAAUACAAGAUGGCAUCAUGAGUCCGCAUGUUCACAUGAUUAAAGGUAUUCCGGUAGACGAUGGGGAUGCGUUCCAUUAGAUAGUAGGCGGGGUAACGGCCCACCUAGUCUUCGAUGGAUAGGGGUUCUGAGAGGAAGGUCCCCCACAUUGGAACUGAGACACGGUCCAAACUCCUACGGGAGGCAGCAGUGAGGAAUAUUGGUCAAUGGGCGAGAGCCUGAACCAGCCAAGUAGCGUGAAGGAUGACUGCCCUAUGGGUUGUAAACUUCUUUUAUAAAGGAAUAAAGUCGGGUAUGCAUACCCGUUUGCAUGUACUUUAUGAAUAAGGAUCGGCUAACUCCGUGCCAGCAGCCGCGGUAAUACGGAGGAUCCGAGCGUUAUCCGGAUUUAUUGGGUUUAAAGGGAGCGUAGAUGGAUGUUUAAGUCAGUUGUGAGAGUUUGCGGCUCAACCGUAAAAUUGCAGUUGAUACUGGAUAUCUUGAGUGCAGUUGAGGCAGGCGGAAUUCGUGGUGUAGCGGUGAAAUGCUUAGAUAUCACGAAGAACUCCGAUUGCGAAGGCAGCCUGCUAAGCUGCAACUGACAUUGAGGCUCGAAAGUGUGGGUAUCAAACAGGAUUAGAUACCCUGGUAGUCCACACGGUAAACGAUGAAUACUCGCUGUUUGCGAUAUACGGCAAGCGGCCA
rnacentral:rRNA from 1 species